rnacentral:rRNA from 1 species
AGACGGAGGGGGCUAGUGUUAUUCGGAAUGACUGGGCGUAAAGGGCACGUAGGCGGUGAAUUAAGUUGAAGGUGAAAUCCCAAAGCUUAACUUUGGAACUGUUUUCAAAACUGAUUCACUGGAGUUCGAUAGGGGAUAGUGGAAUUUCUAGUGUAGAAAUAAAAUUCAUAAAUACUAGAAGGAACACCAGUGGCGAAGGCGACUAUCUGGAUCGAUACUGACGCUGAGGUGCGAAAGCAUGGGGAGCAAACAGGAUUAGAAACCCCAGUAGUCC